CGACCUGUUGCGGACAGAUAUAAUGGAUGUGGCAGUCGAAACCGCCGGGCGUCACGAUCUUGCCCUCGCCCGCGAUGAUCUCGGUUCCGGGUCCGAUGAUGAUGGUCACGCCGGGCUGGGUGUCGGGGUUGCCCGCCUUGCCGAUGGCGGCGAUGCGGCCGUCCUUCAGCCCGACAUCGGCCUUGACGAUACCCUGAUGGUCGAAGACCACGACGCCGGUGAUGACGGUAUCGACCGCGCCGCCCGCGCGGGUGAUCUGGCUUUGCCCCAUGCCGUCGCG
rnacentral:sRNA from 1 species